rnacentral:tRNA from 9 species
AGGGGCGUAGCUCAGCUGGCAGAGCGUCGGUCUCCAAAACCGAAGGUCGUCGGUUCGAAUCCGGCCGCCCCUGCCA